AUAGACUUCCCAUCGUCACAGUCCGAUGGGCAGAUUGCGACAGUGGGGCGCCU
rnacentral:pre_miRNA from 1 species